AGGAAAGGGAGAAGCUCCUUAUGUGAGGGAGAAAUCUCAAGUUCCAUUUAUUGAGCAGUUUUUUAUUUUCUGGGUUUUUCCCAAGACUGUAGCUUAACAGCUAAGGGCCAUUUGUGUGAGUGUAUAAAUUACCCUUUUGCUUGUUGGAUAGCUUCUGAUUUCCAGCGCCUGAAGUUCAUGCUAUGUAGCAUCAUGAUCAGAAUAUCUUAAAGCUAGAAUCCUGUUUUCUGUUACAGAGCAGCGCAGAUCCCUAAGGCCCGAGACCCGUGGUCAAAGGAGGCUGUUCUGCUUGCCCUCCAAUGUUGGAAAAGGAAGAAAAGGACAGUGGAGGAGGAGGAAGACCAAACAUCUGCUGCUGGUCAGGAGGACAAAAGAAGGUGCCAUGACAGCAGUGGGAGUGGCCAUUCAGCUUUUAAGCCGGAGGUGGCCAACGGAGUCCCUGCUGCUUUUGUGCCUGAGCCUGGGCCUCUGCAGAGAGGCCUCAGUUCCCAGAGCUCAGAUGGCGAGCUGCGUAAGAGAACCUGCACCUCUGCUGUGAGCUGCUCGAAGGGCACGUGCACAUGUGGCAUCCGUAUGUCCAGCCGCAAUGCCAUUACCAGUUCCUACACUUCUACUGGAGGCAUCUCUCAGCCUCCAGCUCCCUGGAUCAGCGGCUCGAUCACGGUCGAAGAGUAUUACCAGGAGAAGCAAGCUCAGUCACAGUGGCUGAAGAGGAUCUUCGAGGAUAAGACUG